UGUCCUGUUACUGAACACUGUUCUAUGGUUAGUUUUGCAGGUUUGCAUCCAGCUGUGUGAUAUUCUGCUGUGCAAAUCCAUGCAAAACUGACUGUGGUAGUGAAAAGUCUGUAGAAAAGUA
rnacentral:pre_miRNA from 1 species